rnacentral:rRNA from 1 species
CCCUUAGAUGUUCUGGGCCGCACGCGCGCUACACUGAUGCAUUCAACGAGUCUAAAACCUGGUCUGAUAGGGCUGGGUAAUCUUUUGAAUGUGCAUCGUGAUUGGGAUAGAUGAUUGCAAUUCUUCAUCUUCAACGAGGAAUGCCUAGUAAACGCAAGUCAUCAGCUUGCAUUGAUUACGUCCCUGCCCUUUGUACACACCGCCCGUCGCUCCUACCGAUUGAAUGUUCCGGUGAGGCUUUGGGAUCUGAGCGGAAAGAGCGUUUCGCUGUUUCUGCUCGGAAAACUCAGUCGAACCUUAUCAUUUAGAGGAAGGAGAAGUCGUAACA